ACACAUACAUAUGCCACUCACAUCCGACGUGUGUGGUUGCUCAGUAGGGAAAUGCUUACAGCUGCCUCUAGAAGCAAGUCCGCUCGCUGCAUGGAGAGGGAAACAUGAGCAUGCAGCAGGACUAGCUGUCACCUCCCGCCCGCCUGCCCAGAGAGGGCCAGAGCGUCGGGGAGGCAAGAUGAUCCACCAGCGGUUCCAUCCUACACUUGGGCAUUGGAUCUCUUGUGCUACUAUACACCAAGGAUGUUACCUGUAUUAACUGAGAUCUUCACAGCUCACAAAGCUAGAUAUUGAUGGCCUUAUAGAGAUGAAGAAACAGAAGCUCAAAGAGUUUCAAUCACUUGCCUGAAGUCACACAAGUAUUACAUAAUUCAGCCAAAAUUUAAACUCUGGUCUUUCUGACUGGCAGGACCAUUCCUUACCAUGAUGCCAUGUUGCUGGUGGACAUUAGGGUAUCUAAACUAGGGUAGUCCUAGCUUCAGAGAAAGAAGCUGUAUAAAGAAACCAAAUGAUUAUGCUUGAGGCUUAACCAAAGCAAUAUAAAAAGUGUAUGUUCUCAGGGGAAUGGGCAAAACAGAAGAGAAAAAGGCCGGCCACCGAGCGGCUGUGGGUGAAUGAGUUAACCAAAGAGCAAAUGUCUGAGUUGGAUCAUGAAACAGCAGAUCAAGUGGGCUCAGUGUCUGUAAACAUCUACACUGCCCAUGAGGACAAGAUCUGUAUGCUCCAUCUACACCCAGAGGCUGAAGGAAUGCCUGUGGUGUAGACAACUCACUUUUCUAGAGAAAUGGAGAAGGGAUUAGACAUGUUAACCCUGAAGAAAAGGAAACUUGGGGU
rnacentral:lncRNA from 1 species